UACGUAGGGUGCAAGCGUUUGUCCGGAAUUAUUGGGCGUAAAGAGCUCGUAGGCGGUUUGUCGCGUCGGCUGUGAAAUCCCGAGGCUCAACCUCGGGCCUGCAGUCGAUACGGGCAAACUAGAGUGUGGUAGGGGAGACUGGAAUUCCUGGUGUAGCGGUGAAAUGCGCAGAUAUCAGGAGGAACACCGGCGGCGAAGGCGGGUCUCUGGGCCAUAACUGACGCUGAGGAGCGAAAGCGUGGGGAGCGAACAGG
rnacentral:rRNA from 1 species